CAGCUGGCAUCCAUACUGAAAAGUUAAUAUUUAAAAAAUCUGAUCAUGGAAGUUCGUGUUCCGGAGGCCUGAUUUUUCCCCUGUUGGUCUCACUGGAAGAUGACUUGGGGUCCUAGCCAAUAUACUUAGUUAACAACUAUGGUAGAUUAAGUUCUUCCAGUCUGUGGGGUGACGGCAGCAACAGGCAAGAGACCAGAAUCACAUUCACUUUGAUCUGUGCGCCCAUCACAUUUUCUGUGUUUAAUUCUUCUACCAACUUGGACGAACUUGGGAAAAGCACCUUGAUCCUUGGGAAUGCAUCGGAAAUAUGCCACAGCAUGAUUAUCAGCACAGGACACAGAAGAUUUUGAGUCUAAAGCAACAAGAUGGACUCCAGAAAGCACAGGUGAAAACUGGGGUGAAACUGUGCCCUAUCGUGACUCUCGUGCAGGAUCAGCUUUCCAUCACAUUGCUGAAUCGAUUGCCACAUCCAUUCUGCCGUUCAUUCAUCUGGGGUGCGCUGGGAAGAGAGGAGAGAUGCUAAAUGGGAUCAGAAGUAUGGUUCAGAGCAUGAACGCUACCAGGGACUUUGCACGUUACCCUCUGAUAAUGAGGUAUCUUUCACAAAACAUGUAUUAUUCGAGAAGUCUAGGGCAUGGGCCCUCAGAAAUGGGACGCCGGUGGAAUUGAAGACGGCACAGCAAACCUCAAUUUGGACCAGCCACGUUUCAAGCACUCAAUAGCCGCAUGUGCCUAGCGGAUACCACGUUGGACGGCACAGCUCUAGGUAUCGAGAUCUUACUCACUUCGUCUUCCCUCCCUGAAGUGGAUCUACUUAUAUAACCGGGAAGAGGAUAUUGCUGACUCGUUGAAAGCCAAUACUUUGGUGCUCAGGGCAUUUUUAUCCGUGGCCAAGAACGUAGAUUACGGACUCUCACAAACGUGAGGAAAUCGUCAUGGGAUCAUGCCAGGAAAGGAGGCUUGGGAAAGGACAUCUCUGACUUCUUGAAAAAUUGAGUGUGUCUACAUUUGUCCUGGCUCUCAUUUAGUUUCAAAUACAAGGAGAUUUAGAUUCAAAAUAGCUUCUUAAUUUGCUUUCUUUCUUCACGUGGUCAAUACACGUGAAAGUAGACUCAUGAGGAGAAAAUCAUUCUCAGUUAUCUCAAUUUCUACGGGAUGUUGUGAAGAUAAUAAACAUUUUUGAUAAGGC
rnacentral:lncRNA from 1 species